rnacentral:sRNA from 1 species
GAGGGUGUAGGUAUGUACCCGGGCCUCUGCCAGUCAGACUCACAUGCUAGGAGGAGCAGGGCCAGGCAGGAGAGCCGUGUCUCCUGGCAUUGGGGCUGCAGGAAAGACGAGCUCCUAGGCCACAGUGCCAGUGGCCAGUGCUGCUGCCUUGCAGGGUCGCACAGGCAGUGCUGGCUGUUUGGACUGGCUUGGCAGAAGGAUUUGAAGUAUUGUUCCUAGCCAACUGGACUCAAACCUGUUCCUCCAACCCUCUAGGGAUUCUCUUAUCACCCAGUAGCCUUUUCCCCCUAGUUUUAAAAAUUGCAGUAAAAUACACAAAAGAUAAAAUGUACUGCCUUAACCAUUUUUAAGUGUACAAUUCUGUGGUAUUGAGCACAUUUAUAUUGUGCAACCAUCACCACAUGCAUCUUCAAUAGCUUUUCAUCAGUCCUUGUCUGCAUAAAUCAGCUAGAGUUGGUUUCUAUUGAUUGCCACCAAUAAUCUUGACAGAUAUGUCUGAUCUUCCUUCUCUGCACUGACUCCUCUUUCUCUGUCUCCUCUGCUGAUUCUUUCUCCUCAUCACAACUCCAAAUAGCAGGGGGAGGGUUGUUUACACUUAUAUUCAGCACGCCCUCACCCACUCGCCUGGCUCUUCAGACCUCUCCCCUGAACUCCAGAUUCAUACAUCCAGCUGCCCUUUAGGCCUCUAGAAAGCUAAAUACCUCAGUAUCAAAAACAUGAGAAACGGAAGUCAGAGUCCUGGAUCUCUCGCCCUUUCGCUGUCCCAGUGCCCAUGCCCUUCAGGGAUGGCACCUAGACCAGCUCCCUGCGUCCCUGCCUAGACUCUGCAGUAGUCUCACGUGGCAGACCCGGAGGUCACUCUCCUCUCUGGAUGCCCUGCGGACACUCCGGUUAGCAGGCAGUGUCCAGCUGUUCCUUCACCUGGCCUCAGCUGCAAGAGCCUCCUCACCCAAGGUCACGCCAUUUCUAGGACAGCACCCUGGUGACUGAGCGAGGGAAGAAAAGUCAGAAGACCAGGACCUCCAGGGCCUCAAGGACAAACCCCUCAAGUUUAAAAAGGUGAAGAAAGAUAAGAAAGAAGAGAAAGAGGGCAAGCAUGAGCCCGUGCAGCCAUCAGC